UCUGAAAUGAGAAAAUGAGCACCCUGACAAGGAAGCCCACAGACCAACAGGGAUUCCGAGCCCAGAUCUCAUCAUAAUAAAGAAUGUUUAAUUGUUAGCUAAAGGUUCAGUCCGUGAGCUGGAACACCAAGGUUUUGAUACAAAGGUAGCUCCCUGGCUCCUUACUGCCCAAUUUUUGAAUAGCCUCAGAAAAGUAGCCUGAUAAUUACUUGUCACCGACUUUUAAUGAUCUGGUCUCAUUCUAAUGGCGCAACCCCAAACUCUCAGGCCAGACCGGCAAUUCUCACCUCUCUAUUUUCUUUUAAGUAUCAAAACAAGGGCUGACGAGAUGGAAACGCUCCUGGAAUCCUGACACUAAUGAACACCUUACCUGCUUAGUUAAGCUGAUUACGGAUAUACGUGAAUCUAAAGGAAGCGCCCUAGCUUCGUGGAAGACGCGCAGGUGGUACCUUUUGCUCUCAGUUGCAAACCAAGACCUCUCUUCCUCCCUCAAGAGAGCUUCCAUUUUACAGCUCCCCACAGAGACAGAACAAUGCCAUCCAACUAUAUACAGAAGAACAAAAAGCCCCACCACCCCCCCUUUUUGGGGGGGAAAAUAGACAUCAGAACCAGAGAACAUUCCUUAUAAUCUUACCUGAUUAUAAUUACUGGUAGCUUUGCCCUUUCAAUGGUCUCGUCGGCCCCAAAACUUACUAAAGUGAAGUCAUUAAAAAUAAAUUUAAAAUGUAUCCAUGCUUUUGCUUUCCAGGGGAGUUUGUUGCAUCAGCGUCUCAGAGGAGGUAACGUAUGUGGGGAUCUUCCAUACACGGCGCCAUUUCCCUCCCUCACCCCCUCUUCCUCCUUCUUCUCUUCUGAAAAUUAAGUGCAUCGAGUUCUAACUUUUACACAGGCAGUUAAACGAGGCCUGGCCCACCUACCUUGGAGCGCGCCUAAACACCCUAAACACACCUGCACCGGGUGAGCGAUACAAUUUCAAAUGUUCAUAUGAUGCUCUCAGGAGACUCCAUGCCCCAACUCCUUUCUUUUUCCCAGAGACGCCCUAGAUCAGGGGCCAAAGGAUACUGAAGCAUUCCUUCCUUCCUUUCCAUAUCCGCCCUUCUUUUCUCCAAACUAGUCAGCAAGCAAUUUAGCUGCUUAGUUAAUGCAGAGAAGAUACAUAUAUAUUUCAUUUCUGGGACUGUUUUUGCAGAACAUGUUACAUUGUAUAUCUUCAGCAAAGCUCUGGAUCUUUAGAUCAAUAUUCAUUCAUGCCCAGUGCUCUUUACUAUGGGUCUUCCCAGAUCCCAGGGUAUUUUAAUGAUCAUUAAUCAAUUUACUCUCCUUUUUUUUUUUUCUUCUCUCAAACACUUCCACAUCUGAGUUUGUCUGAUGACUCAUAAGGGCACCGCACCAAAGAUUAAGGAUUAAGUUUAAUAACUGUAAAUUUCAGAGAACUGAUUUUCAAGUGUGAUAAAAGUUGAAGCACUUUGGUGUUUACAAGAUACCAUACUUCUCUAAAUGUCACCUCCUAAGUUCUUCAAUCCCCUGUUCUGUUUUACAUGCGAGCAUUUCUCUGGCUGCUGAGCAUCUGGUCAGUAAUCGCCUUAACCUUACAAAGAAGUGGGUUCCGGCGGUGUUGGCCUCCCCUGCUCUCUGCAACAGUAACAGUGGAAAUAGGCCCGGAAAAAUGAACAAUUCACUUACGAGAAAGGAGAGAAACUUGACAGGACUGACUCUUAUUUGCUUGCCCCCCAAAAUAUAUUAUGGUAGUUAUAUUCUUUCUUUGAUGGCUGGAUUUUGUUUAUGGUCAUCAAAUACACCCUUUGUUUUCUUUUAUGAUUAUCCCCUCCCUGUCUCCAUGUUACUUCCAUCUUGUUUAUUCUUCACAAUAGUAUACUUUUGACUAGAAAGGAACACGUUUUUUUCCCACAACUCUCCAAAUCCUUCUCCCCAUCUAUGUUAAAUAAGCCAUAAGAAAAAUGCACCAGACCACUUGGACAUGCUGAGGCCAUGCUAUCCCUUGAAGCACGAUGACCCUUACCUAGUAGCAGCUGAGUAAGGGAUUCCAGGUUUAUGUGCCCUUCGGACAGGCCCAUUUGGCCUCCCUAAUGGGCCAAUUCCAAAAAGGAAGUGAAAAGAGAGGAAACAGCCUUGUACUAGGAGCUGGAAAAGCUGGGCAAUGCAAGUCCUCCUAUCUCUCCUACAUUUUAUGUUUCCGUAGGCUCUGGGGUCAGGCUGUCUAAAUUUGAAUUUUCACUUUUCUACUUACUAACUUGUGACUUUGCGCAAGAUGUUCAACCUGCUUCAGUGUCUUCCUCUAUUGAACGGAGAGAUAAAGACAGGAUCUACCUCACUGGGUAGUUGUAAAGAUGUAGAUGAAUCCACACACGCGAAAUACCCAGAGUCCGGCACAUGCGAAUGCUAGGCGGUAUUAUUACUAACGUUAUUAUUAUUGUUUGCUAAGUGCAGAGAAAGUUUUAGGUGACGGUGGCUUCUGUGUGUUUCUCUCAUGUAAUAAAUAAUUUUGUGAUGGGAUCCUGUAAUAAUUCACAGUACUCAUGCUGACCCAGUAAUAUUUUUGUUCUUUCUCUGGUUCUAAGUUUGGCAAAGGGCAGUGGAGGGCAUUGAAAGAUCCUAACACGUAGGCACAGAACAACAGCAGCAACAACAACAAAAUUAGGUGUUUGGAGAUACCUGCUGUGAGAAAGGGGCAUCCCGGACAUGAAACAAGUGACUAGAAUGUGGUGCUGUCCAUCGUAUAGAAUUCCAUUUUGCAGAACAAGCAGCCAAAAGUUCUAGAUGAUAAGGGGCUUGUUGGAAGUUCGCGCAGCUAAGUGGUGAAAUUGAGUUUUCCAGUUUUCAUCUGUCUGACCUCAAAAUGCAACAUCUCCCUGAAUGCUGCAUCACACUUUCUGAAACCUUGCACGCAAGGUACGUGCUAAAAAGAGAUUUUAUGGGUUUUGACAUUUAUGUUGCACACAUUCAAAAGAGAUAAAAAUAGACUCCAUGCUGCUGAUAUAAUUACUAGAGGCUAUAAAAGCCAUGCAAAAAUCUGGAGAGGGGGUGUGGGAAUAGUCGGGGGAAGAACAUAAACAAGGGAGCAGUGACACAAACUAGGACAACAUACUGUCCUUAAUUCCUUCGCUAACUCCCCACAGUCCUGGUAGAGUCCUACCACAGAAGAUCCAGCCUUCAUUUUGAACUUGGAAACCUCCCCAUUCGCAGGCUGUGGCAAUGCCAGCAAGCCACAGGUGGGCACCGCGUGAGCAGGUAUUUAUUUUUUAGUCGGGAGGUUUAGGAGAGUUUCAGACGAACGAGCGUCCAUGCCUUGGAAAUCCCAGAGAAGAAAAGUCAAGCAGCAUCAGGAAGAGAAACUGGCCGAGCUCUCAGCCGGCCUGCCCCGUGGUAAGGAAGCCACACUCGGGUGAGCUGCCCUCACUGCCAGGGGCAGCCGACAGACAGCAGCUUCUCUGCUGCAGAUUGAGAAACCUGACAUUGGCCUCUCGCACUGCACCUCAGAAGGAGGCAGGCUGCCGCGGACGCAGGGUGUGGGCGUCUGGGUAGCAUGCGAACACAGGAGACAGGGAGAGCUAUUUGGGAAGACGUGCUCGGUGGUUUCCUCUGGGCUCCUUGCUUAUUACCACCCUGAUUUUUGAGAUGGGAGCUGAAACCCACACUAGCAUAAGGAACAUCAAUGACAGGUCCCCCUCUACUCCAGCCACACCAAGCAUCCCUAACAAACAACACUACUAACCAAACCCGCCCACACCUAUAGUAAGUACAUCUUUAAAAACCCGAAUAGCUGCUGGUAGCGCAGGCUGUGGCUACAAUUCAGACCCAGCUAGAUUGAGCACAAGGUGAAGUUUGGCCGUGAAACUUUGUACCUUCCCUUCUGGAUCAGAACAAAGGUGGAUGCCUUGACACAGACUUGGUGGCCGUUUUGAGAGCUGGCCUUGCUUCUGACCAUUCAUGUGGUCACCACGUCCUUCAGCUUACAGUGACCGUGAAACCAAAUUCAUCAUUCUUGACGAAAAGGACAAAAACUGGGCUGAAAUGAUCUGCUAAAGGUUACAAACUGACUCGAGUAAGGAUGAAAACAUGUAGCACUUGACGAGUCCAGUUGAGUCAGGGAUUUGCAUAAGUCAGAGUCAGAAGAGUUGUCAGACUUUUGCAAUGUUUCAGGAAAGGGCAGGUGACCUUUGGCAUUUUGGACACAGAGUCUUUCUGAUGAGGUAUUUUAGGGUGGAUUGUAAGAGACUCCAGUAGUAAGUUAUGUUGUAUCGAUUGUAGGGACUCCAGGGGGAAAUAUAGUAAUUUUACUUUCAAAUCUUUAAAAAGUGUGUGGAUAAGAAUUACGUGUUACUUAUAGCAGAUCUGAGUCUGGUGCAUUUUUCCAAGUUAGCUCCUUCCCUAGGCAGUGUUCCUGGGUCUCUGGAGUGGAUGAGAGGUUUAGAAACUGGGAGUGGGGAGUCACGGAAAGGAAGAGACGAGGAAAAAUGCACAGGGAAAAGGGACAUGCAAAAUAAAACACAUUUAAAUUUGUUACUACGCAUGAGAUCAUAUUUCUGGCACUUUGCAGAGGUCUUAUGGAAGCUGUUAGUUCCAAUAUAGAAAUACUAGCGUGAGUAAAUUGGUGUUAAAUUUAAAUUUACUUAGGAAGUAAUAGUCUAUCUACAUUCCUUAUAAGAUUCUCUCAGGUAAAUUGGGGAAAGAGAAUUCCACGGGAGAAAAGAUGUUUCUAGUAUUUAAUCCACUGUUUCCCAGUCGAAAUGCAAUUUGUAUUUAGGAAAAUAAACAUCCAGAAGGAAACUGCACAUUUUAUUGGCUUAGUGUCUCUUAUGUUGGUAAUUUAAAGGUGGUGUUGGACUCUGUUAAGAAAAAGUAGUAUUUAGUGUUCUUAGACAGGUGUAGAAAUUAUUUAAAGGUGUACUAGAACAAAACUUGGAAAUUUCUGCUGUUCCCAUAGAUCAAUAUUUACAUUUUAAAACUUGGAAAUCCUGGAGGAUAAGCAUCUUGAAUUGUGUAACUUCCUCUUCCAGGAAGCAUCCUGGAAGUUAGCGAUACUCUGACCUCCCGCUGUGGUAUUGACAGUGACACCUGCACACCUGCCUUAAAUCUCUAUUAUUUAACUGUAUUGUGAGAGAGUUUAUAAUCAAGCGAGUGUUCUUUAGCUUCGGAAAGAAGUUGUUCUCUUUUGGCAGCAACCUUUACCUCUCGUGCUGUCUGGUGGUUACGGGCACGCGAGCACGUGUGCAUACGGCAUAGCGUCGCCCAAGGUGUGUGGAUGCUCUUUCCUAAGGUCCAGGACACUCACCUUUCAUUGCUUCGUCCGAGUUUGAAAUCAAACGAUUUUUUUCCCCAGAUACUACAUUCCUAUGUGUUUGACAAUUUGUAGGAAGGAUUAAAAAGGCUGCAUCCCCCAAAGGUCAGUGGGGAAAGAUGAAGGAUUGUAACCCUGUCCUCUGACAUAUCUGAGGUCCAAAGCCACGUUUCCCAGUGACUUCAACGCAGUUGUACUGAUCUAAAGAAAGCCUUCACAUAGUAUUUAUAAUAAACUCUGUACUGAGUCAUGUGCAGAAGUGUCUGUAUCAAAUACUACUUUAGAUCGCACAGGUUCUUGUGAAAAAUGUGUAGCUAGGUAGGAAAUACGUUUUUUUUUAACGCGUCCCAAGUUUCUGAUAAGUUUUUUCUGUGAGGCACACCACACGUUUGCAGGACCCCGCUCUCCUUUCUGCUGCUAAAGCCAGGGGAGGCCUUGAUUGAAUGCCAAGAGGGAGAGGGUGAACCAAGCAAAAGGAAAAAAAAAAAACAAUCAAGGGGUGCCUCAAAGGAGAGAAAACAAAUAGUGAUGCAGUAGAGAUAUUAUAGAUAAAGUAAAUACAGCAUCACCACAAAAGUCUAAACACUUGUUAAACUGUCUGGUUUUAGAACAUUUCAGCCAUACAACAUUAUUCAACUACUCAUCACUGUGAGAACAGGCAAUCAGGAAAGCUAAUUUCUUAAUUAGCUCUGCUCCGGCGGUAAUGAUUGCAGAUCGUGUCAACUAAAAUCUGUUUGGAUUUCUGUAAAUUGGAGUCCGACAAGCCUGCAGUUCCGUCGCCAACCUGAUAACUCUCACCCCCUGUCUUUUGUUUUUCCUUCCAGCCUUUUUCCUGUCGCCAUCUCGGUAUUUAAUCUGACACCGCCAGGCAGCGAGGAGGGCUUACUCUUCCCCUUAAAGAGAAAGAGAGAGGAGGAGGAAAAGCAAAACAUUUACGUGGGGACAGGAGGGCUGGCUACACAGGAAACCUGGUCCCAACCUAAACUACUGACAAAAGCCUUUAAUCUUUCCCACAUUCCUCAAGGCAUUCUCCUUCUGUAAUAAGACAUAUUCCUUUCAAGUAAAUCCUGAUAAGGGAAUUCAUUUUUUUUUACAGGAAAUGUAUAGCCUUGUAAGUCUAGCAUCUUAUUUAGUUUCUAUAUUAUGGGUCCUAACUAAUCCAAAACCAUUUCCUUAUCAUCUGGCACGCUCACGGCACAGUCAUCAAAACAAACAAUCUGUUAAUACAACUAAGGUUAGGCCAAGCCAAGCGGUGAGCGUUAUAUUUAAUAUGCAUUACAACAGAGCCUUAUAGCCUUCUCAACCGCUUGUUGGUCAGAAAAGGCCAAUCUGUUAGAUACCGAAGGAUUUCGGUCGCCUCACAGACAGUGUGACAUUAAAAUAUAUAUUCCAAAGUCCCCAUCUGUCUGGUCUGGACAGUUCUGGGUAGGACGAGGCCUAUUUGGACCCAAGGCAGGUCUCUGACCAUCAGAUCAGAUUUCUCAUCUUUUACCAGUGCCUGCUCCUUACUUUCUUGUGCUGUGUUUUACUUCAACUCCUUUUUCACUGGCUCCCCCCCCCCCUUCAGAUUUCAGAGUCAGAAACUUUUAGCAAACACAAAGGCGGAAAAAGAAAUCAUUUCUAUGCAUAGACUCAUUAGCUUGGAGUCUAGCUUCACUGUCACUUUAAAUAAAUUAAAAUGAGAUUUAGAAAAACACAAAGGCCUGGUCUGUAAAUCAUUCUAUUAGUAUGUCUGAGUGCACUUAGGUGAUUACCUGAUGUCUGUGUGAUUAAUACUAACCAGAGGUGUGGGCUAAACUACCCUCCCCCCUACCCUUUCUGUGGCGAGGGAAGCAAGGGGGAGGGGCAGCCCAGCGUGGAAUGAUAAGUUUACGCCAUUCAAUAGAAAGCCAAAGAAGUUUGGGGAAAAGUAGAACUGAUAUCUUAAAAGAAUUAUUCUCUAGCAAAUGAGAGGGAGAGGUCCACACGUAUCUGCCAUAGGGAACAUCCAUCUAAGUAAAGAAUUUAGCACAACUAAGGCUCACAGUAGCCAUGAUCCACAAAAGUCUGGAAGACAGGGCAAGGACGUAUACGAAUUAUUCAUAUAAACCUAGGAAUGGCACGCUAACAUCUGAGAAAAGUGUGACUUUUCACUUAGGUACCACCAGUCUCUGUUGUCUUCAUCUAGGAUUUAUAAACAAAGUCCAUUAUGUUCAUCACAAAGUCAGGUAUAUUAUUAAUAGUGACCCUAACGGUGUUGCUUCGACAGUUGGAAAAUCCAGUUUAUUUUUGGUUGUUAAAAUAAGAUUAGAAACAACAAAACAUCCACGGUCACUUUUUAGAAGACUCACAAACGGGUGAAAUACUAAAAGUGAACUAUUCAAACUCAGGAUAUCCAGAGCAAUUACUAACAAUACACAGAAGGAUAAGCCAGGUCAUAAUUGUAUAGACACUGUCAAGGCUCCGUCAGAAGCAGAUGACAAGGGGCACUGUGUAAACUCAGAACUUCCCAUGCCAGGCUUGUUUUGUUUUGUUUUGUUUUAUCAUCUAGAGGACAUUUGCCAUCACUGGAACCCCUCGCAAUUCAAAAUGUAGACUGGAGCCUGGAGGAGAUUAAGGAUGAAUUAUUUUACCUAAACCUCUUGCUUUGAAAGCAGCUGCCCUUUGAUGCAUAUUUUCGUGAAAACCAUGCUCAGUAUCUAUUGUAGUUUGAUCAAUAUUGCAGUUCCAACUCUUUGGAAAGCAGGACGUUCUUAUUUGGGAACUCAUCAUUCUGAUGCCCAUAUGAUUGUCCUCACUUGGAGUUUAGACUAAAAGUGUCAACCCUGUGCAGAAGGUAGGCAUUUUGUUUGAACUCAGGAUUUUGAAAGUUAGGAGAGAGCCAUGAAAUUAUCCUCAUGUAUGUGAAUGUGCACAUGGGUGUGCCUGCCUAUACCAUCAUAGCAUCUCUCUCUCUCUCUCUCACACACACACACACACACACACACACACACACACUCCUCACACACAUCACACACAUCACUACACACACCCUCUAUGCUAAAUCUGCCUCCAAUUAACCAAAAGCACAAUUUUGCCCUGACAGGGAAGAUUUCAUUUGGUCCACAUAUGACUAGGGAGCCGAUUUCAUUUCCUGUAAAAACCCCCUCAAAUGCUGCAAAGUUACCUGACUCAGCUGCUUGUAGAAAUCAAAUUCAGUCAGAGAUAACAGCUAAUCAUUUGUCACAGUAAGAAGCAAUUCCCUGAAAUCGGAAGGGAAAACCUGCCGCUUCAAUCCGCAGGUCUGUCAGAUUGCUAGAAAUUACAUUCUGCUCUGACUAACCUCUGCUCUUGGAUUGCUAACGACAAGAAGUCUGCUCUAUCAAAAGAGAAUAUCAUACAACCAGGAACCGCUUUUGAUUCGUUCUGUUCCAAUAACCUGAGAAAAGUUUAUGGACAUGCCUUGCUGCCUGGACCUCAAUUUCUACCAACCUGCACACUGUUUUGAAUUUAUAGCGCCGCAGCUCCGUAGUAAUAUAGGUGAAAUUUACAGGCUGCCUAUCUGCUACUUCAUUGAAAGAAAAUUAAGAGUUGAUUUUACAACCACACAACUGAUAUUUGCUUUCUGAUACUUUGAGGAAGUAUACAGUUUGGAGGCUUCAAUUAAAAUGCCAAAAGAGAAAAAGCAAAUUGAUUAACUCUCAAAGUACAAUUUAUAUUUUUUAGAAAUGCUUCCCGGGAGGGAAUUAACUUUAUACUCGUCUAUGUAAACACUAUUUGUGCAGCAUAUUAUAAGUUUAAUAAAAAUGAUAUAUCACCUCUCUGUUAGAUUUAUAAUUUGCAUAGCAGUAGUGAAUAUGAGAUCUUGGUCAAAAUGUUUCCCUCUGUGUGUGCUAUGGUGCUUGGAGAACUGUUGGAAAGAAGCAAAUUUGUUAUCUUACCUAAAUCCUAGGGAGUCAUGACAAUUAAAAUCUAUUUCAGGGUAGCUCAUUGAACCCCAAGGAGAGACUGCUUUGAGUUAAAAUCACAUGGUCUUUAAAAAUAGAGGUGGCUUAUACUUUGCAAACAGUACUCAGCCAAAUACUUUUCUUCCACUCUGACCAGAUUUAUGACGAAUGCAUACAUUGCAACUCUAUUAUAAUGACUCAAAGAUGGAAAAGUCAGAGACUUCAACGCUUGAGAAGCCCAUUUCUUAAGACUGAGUCUAUCCCAGGUUUGUUCCACGGCGUGCGCGCACAUGCGCACAUGCGUGUGUGUUUAAAGCAUUUUAUUUUCCACAGUGGAAUCAGCUGAGGAUAGAGUGUGAGCUGUGACUCUGAAUUUCCUUUGCUUUUGUCAAACUGUGUCACAACCGUAAAGUUAUUUUAACAGAGUUUAUUUGCCUAGGCAUUUCCUUUCUCUUGUAGUAGUGUAAGGGAAAGGGAAACAACAAUUUAACAUGUACGCACAGUUGAGUGGAUAUGAGGGACUCUUGCAACUCCUUUCAGAAGCGGACAGUUCAAUGAUAAGUGUGUGGGCUUUUUUUUUGUUUUUUUGAAGCUUAAAAAAAGCUCUUUAUAAAUCUCUCUCUCUCUCUUUUUUUUUUUUUUUUUGGCUUCUUUCAUUUCAAUUUUCCUCAAACAACUGCAGUGGCAAUUGGACAAGUUCGAAAGUUCUCAUUUCUUUCCUUCCUGGACCAGUCCUGACUACUUCUGUCCUAGUUCAUACUGGUUCAAACAGGGGACCUUUUGUAAAAUUCUUCAACAUACUAUGUAUUUGGUUUAGAAAAAAAAAUCAUUACACAGAAUAUAAAAAUUGAUGCCGUAAUAUGGUUGGUUGGGAUUAUCCAAUAGAAUUCCUUGAAGUAACUCUAAUCAAGCCUUCUUCUUGGGUCAGAAACACCUCCCUUCCCCCCACCUUGGACCCAGAUCCUCUCUUGCAUAGUCAUCGUACAGUGGCCAGGGCUUAAGCUCCAGUACUGUAUGAGAAUGCAAACACGCAGAUUUCACAAUCAGAUGACACCGAGACGCUUGCUGUGCCAGACUCUCUUUACUGACUGUUCUCUCAUCUUAGGCCAGCCUAGGGAUCUGAGAACCUGCUGCAGUUAGAAAGAAGCCACCUGACGGCUAAGCCGCCCUCCUGUCUAUUCUCAAUUAUCCCAGCAGCACAACCACCGCCACCAGCCAGGGUUUCCCACCAUUGUCUUGGCCAGAGAGGCGUCCCCCACAGGGGGGGUAUGUUUGUACGUAGAAGAAAAUGCACUGUCUCUACAGGCUAUAUAUAAUAGCUCCAUUCCCAGGGUCACGUGUGUGCCUUAAAAACUCUUUUCUUCUCCUGUGUUUGGGAGGCCAGGUUGAUUAUGUAAGAAUGCCUGACAUUUAUGCAUUAUUCUACCAACAGCAGAGCCCAGUCAUAGCCAUUUUCCACUUGAUCCUCAUAACAGUCCUUUGACGGAAGAAGGUGCAAUUAUCAUCAUCAUGGUUUUAUAGAUGAGUAAACCGAGACUCAAAUUCUUAAUGGACUUCCCCCUAAAUUACCUUUAGGGCAGAAUCUGGAUCUGAUCCCUGCCUCCAGAUCCUAUCUGACCCCACAUUCUACCUGUGCUCUUUCUUGUCACCUCUGGGAUACAAAUCUAAGUCAGCACACAAAAGCCAAGACAGAAUUUCUAAGUAUUUAGCAGCAUACGGUAACAUAGGUGUAAUACUCAUCUCGUUCAUCUGAUUUAGUGGACACAUCCGUGCCCAGGCAAAAACGAGAAAUGGAGAGAAGGGGAGAACUAAGCCAAGGUUGGGAGCAACUGAACUAAAAGUUGCAGAAAAACCAAAUAAGAUUGGAGGAAGAGCACGUGGUCUGCAACAUGGCAAACGUGUAUCGAUGGAUUAAGUGAUGCCCACCGUUGUGGAAUGGAAGAGGUUUUAUCGUGUUUGAAAGGUUUUUUUUAAUUUUUAUGUUUUUAAAUAACAAUAACUCACCAGUUACAUGUUGCUCUUCUACCGUAGUCACUCUCAUCUCCCAAUGUAUUUGAACGUAAACUUCAAACGGAUUCCACAAAAGACUAAAGAACUCCUAUACGUAACUUUCUGGCUGACAUUUUUUUUUUCUGUCCCAAUUAAUGUUUCUUUGAGGGUUUGAGGUUAGGUAUUCGAUUAAAUGUACUAUUCUUCCCUCAGUCAUGAGAACGCCAUUGGAGUAUUAAUGCCAAGACUAAUUUAGAGACCAGAUACGUAACGUCACGGAUUCUGUAAUGUACCUGGGAAACUGAGUCCCUUAUACUCUGUAAGAAUUUGACAUCCGUCCCCUUUUGCCUAUGUUUGUGGGCUGUUUUCACUGGUUCUUUAAUGUCAUCACGCAUACACAUCACCACCACCAUACCACAUACUACUUCACAUUUUCAGGCAUUUUUAUUUACUAAAAUUAAAGGGGGGGUAUCAAUUAAACAUGAUUUAUAAUAUUGUAAAAUUGCCUUCCUUUAUAUUUUUAUAACUGAAAUAUAAACUCUGAAUGAAUAGACACUGAACUGGAAAUACUCACUGGUGUUUACAUUAGCAUCAGGGAGAGAUCUGUAAUAAGUUACCUGACUUUCAUAAGAAUACACUCAAAAUAAUUUGCAAUGCUUGUCAGCUGGAUGAGUCUUACUGGUAUUGACUCAGUCUACAGUAUGCACCUUGGGCAUGAUAUAGAUAUAGUGGACAAUAUGAGGCUUGGACUUUCAAAGAUCACCAUCCUGUAAUUUCGUUCACAUUUCAACUGCUGGAAGACACAGCAGAUACUUAAAUUUUCUAAAAGAAAGAAAAAAAAUCCUGCCCAUUCUUCUGAAAUUUAAGUAGGCAGCCCUUGAAAGAUCACUGGGAAAAGUCUGUAUUUUCUCAGGUUUAACUAAAUAAUUUAUGCAUACUUUCACUUUGGCAUGAUGAAGCAAUUUUAGCCUUUAAAACCCACAACUACUCAGGAGGGAAAAGGUCUGGUUCCUGCAACUUAAAUAAUUUAAGCAUCCAGGUGGAAAUGCUUUCAGCAGUUCCCCUUUUUGAGACAAAGGAAGAAGACUUCAGAAUUUUGAGAUACUAAGAAUAAAGAAUUGAUAAAAGAUGUACCCUUAGAUGUAUUUAAUUUAGAAUGGAAAUCCUGCAGUCUUUUUUAAAUGAUGUGGACCAGAGUGAGAGGAGAGGUGAAAUGUCUGCUCGCCUGCUGUUUGUAAUAAAUGAACAGAUAGAAAAUAAUAUGUCAGCAUAGCCCUAAGUCACACACACAGGUAUAUACAUAUGCAAACAUACGCAUGUACAGAUACAAGUAUCUAUACAACCUACUAUAAUCCUAUAGUCCAUGUUAACCCAAGACUUAAGCAUUAGAUAGCUCUUAGAGACCUCGGAAGAGGCUGUGUUAAGAUACAUUGUGCUUUAAUCCCUGGCUUCCUGAGUUAUACAAAUGUGUAUAUCUUUUGAUAUAUAACUUGAGUAUAUUAGGACAAACAAGAACCAAACAGAGCAUCGCUUCUCCAGGACAGAGGACUGCGACAAAGGAUACAAGGAACCAUCCAAAUACAAGAGGCGGCCCUGAAAUGGAGGCGUCCAGUAGAGUAAGUGCUCCGAGUACCUGGCAGCUAAGCCUGACGUCAUACUUCAGAACCGCCAUGGGGAAGUUUGCCUUCCCACUUAACGGGUCUGUGAGCGACACACUUGUAAAAGAGUGGAGGACUUGGAACACAGCCCCUGUAGACUUAGAGCAUAGUUUACAAUCAGAAAGUUUUCAGGGUUAAAAAAUUUCCUGCCGUCUUAUAAACAUACCCCAAAAUGUACAUAAUACUUAGUGUUGUUAUUUCUUGUGGGAGAGAAAAACACCCACCAACUCAUACAUGAAGCGCUUUUUUUUUUUUUAACGCGUGUAUUUGUCACAUCCAGAUUUGAUGGCUCGUGCAAAGAUGAAAGUCAGCUAAGGUACAAAAUAAGGUAAGAGAGCUAAGGAGUUGGUUUCCUUUAGAGCUGAGUGUGACAAAUGAUACAGGAAGAGUGAAAAGAGAUCUUGCCAUGUAUGUAUUUUUUAAGAUGGACGGGGGCUUCAUUCCAUUACACAGGAGGAAAACAGGCCUUCCACGCUUGUGAAUUUUCAGUCUCCACAACUUCUGGCCCUGUGCAUCCUGGGCACGCAGCAUCCUGGGUCCCCUAAAGAGAGUGCCCGAAGAAAAUAUGAAGAAAGGUAACCGUCUGAGCCAACAGGAAAUGUUAAGCUUGCCCAGGGCUGCAUAAAAGAAGGUUGCUGAAACCAAACAUCACGUCCAGAACAAGGUCGCUAUGUUAUGAUGAUUUCAUUCUGAGUACGAUGCUGGAUUUGUUUCUGUUGUGGUGGUGGCGGCGGGCGAGGGCCACCUACAGUGACAUAGGUCAGAGACGUAGAAUGCGGAAGAGUGAUAUUCACCGGUGGGCACAUCAGUGCUGUUAGGGGGAUUGAAGAAAUAGUAUUCUUGAUAUAAAGAUAUAAAGAGGUUAAACAGCAACAGCUAAGGUAUGGAAUGUGAAUGGUGGCCCAGAAAGAGAUUGAAGUGGGGGUGGUUUGUUGCUUUUUUCUUUCAUUUUCUUUUCUUCCUCUUUUUUUUUCUUUUCUUUUCCUCCCCCCCCCCCCUUUUUGGUCAUCCAUUGACUUUAAUUAAGCCCAGCCAGCCUCUUAAGCAUGGGAAACUUGGAGAACUUUUUUGUUUAAAGUGACCUUGUUCCCAGGGUUUUCCCCACAACGUCUCUCAGCCCUGUUGCAAGGAUGAAUAUUCACAUUCCUGCUCUGAAUCUUAGAACAGGGCACCUGGCAUCAACAGAAAAUUGUAAUCUCAUCUGAAGUAUAAUACUAAGAGUGCUCUUUUUUUUUUUAAGGAAAAAGAAACCUUUCUCCAUAAUCCUGCUAGUUAUACUUCUUAACUGUAUUAUUUUAAGUCAAUUAAUUCAAAUUUUAAAAUAAUGAAAUUACUAGCAGAGACUCUAAACUUCUUUUAGUAUAUUAAAUUGGGCAGAUUGCUUCUCUCCUUCUAAUUAUGAAUGUUGCAGUUACAAAAGAAACUGUCAUUUUGAUAGAGCAAAAGACAAUCUGUCUGCCAAAAAUGUCCAACCAUAAUUCUAAAAAAAAGUCAUCGGCAUCAAGAACAUGCUACUUUGUUUGAUGUACUGUCUUAUUGGAAACCUAAUUUGCUUUCAACCUCUGAGACAACACAUAACAUAAGUUUGUGUGACUAAUUUUUUCUUGGAAAUAUGAGUAAUGAGAAUUAGGGGCCAUUUUCAUAGCAGGAGUGGACAGGUUUUUUAAAAAUUCAAAGUAAGUGCUAGAGUUAUUUUCUUUGCUUUUUUUUUUUAUAGCACUCC